rnacentral:rRNA from 1 species
GACGAACGCUGGCGGCGUGCUUAACACAUGCAAGUCGAACGGAGAUAAUAGUAAUAUUAUCUUAGUGGCGGACGGGUGAGUAACGCGUGGGCAACUUGCCUCAGACUGGGGGAUAACACAGGGAAACUUGUGCUAAUACCGCAUAACAUCAUCGUAGGACAUCCUAUGAUGAUCAAAGGAGUAAUCCGGUUUGAGAUGGGCCCGCGUCCGAUUAGCUAGUUGGCGGUGUAAUGGACCACCAAGGCGACGAUCGGUAGCCGAACUGAGAGGUUGAUCGGCCACAUUGGGACGGAGACACGGCCCAGACUCCUACGGGAGGCAGCAGUGGGGAAUAUUGCACAAUGGGGGAAACCCUGAUGCAGCAACGCCGCGUGAAGGAUGAAGGUUUUCGGAUUGUAAACUUCUUUGAUUGGGGACGAAUAAUGACGGUACCCAAAAAACAAGCCACGGCUAACUACGUGCCAGCAGCCGCAGUAAUAC